UCUAUUUACGUGCCUAAUUCUUUGUUUUUGUAAGAAACGGGGGAACCACCUAGGGUGAAUUGCUCAAGGAUUAUCCUACAGCAUAGGGAUCUUCAACCGAACCCAUAAGCUAACCUCGUAGGCAGCGAAGGGAGAAGCA
rnacentral:sRNA from 2 species